rnacentral:tRNA from 1 species
UGGGGAGUCGCCAAGUUGGUAAGGCACGGGACUUUGGAUCCCGCACGCGCAGGUUCGAGUCCUGCCUCCCCAGCCA